GCGAGCUUGGCGGAAUGGUAGACGCACGAGACUUAAAAUCUCGAGUCCGAAAGGGCGUGCGGGUUCGAGUCCCGCAGCUCGCA
rnacentral:tRNA from 1 species